rnacentral:rRNA from 1 species
CCUGGCUCAAGAUGAACGCUGGCGGCGUGCUUAACACAUGCAAGUCGAACGAAGCACUUAGGACAGAUUACUUCGGUUUGAAGUCCUAUUUGACUGAGUGGCGGACGGGUGAGUAACGCGUGGGUAACCUGCCUCAUACAGGGGGAUAACAGUUAGAAACGACUGCUAAUACCGCAUAAGCGCACAGUCUCGCAUGGGACAGUGUGAAAAACUCUGGUGGUAUGAGAUGGACCCGCGUCUGAUUAGCUAGUUGGUGAGGUAACGGCUCACCAAGGCGACGAUCAGUAGCCGGCCUGAGAGGGUGAACGGCCACAUUGGGACUGAGACACGGCCCAAACUCCUACGGGAGGCAGCAGUGGGGGAAUAUUGCACAAUGGGGGAAACCCUGAUGCAGCGACGCCGCGUGAAGGAAGAAGUAUUUCGGUAUGUAAACUUCUAUCAGCAGGGAAGAAAUGACGGUACCUGACUAAGAAGCCCCGGCUAACUACGUGCCAGCAGCCGCGGUAAUACGUAGGGGGCAAGCGUUAUCCGGAUUUACUGGGUGUAAAGGGAGCGUAAGCGGUUCACCAAGUCAGAAGUGAAAGCCCGGGGCUCACCCCC